rnacentral:ncRNA from 1 species
AAACUGGAGAGUUUGAUUCUGGCUCAGAUUGAACGCUGGCGGCGUGCCUAACACAUGCAAGUCGAACGCGAAAGUCUCUUCGGAGAUGAGUAGAGUGGCGCACGGGUGAGUAACGCGUGGAUUAUCUACCUACUGGUACGGGACAACAGUUGGAAACGACUGCUAAUACCGUAUACGCUGGUAACGGGAAAGGGGGCCUCUUCUUGAAAGCUCUCGCCAGUAGAUGAGUCCGCGUUUCAUUAGCUAGACGGUGGGGUAACGGCCUACCGUGGCAACGAUGAAUAGCAGGCCUGAGAGGGUGGCCUGCCACACUGGGACUGGAACACGGCCCAGACUCCUACGGGAGGCAGCAGUGGGGAAUAUUGCGCAAUGGACGAAAGUCUGACGCAGCGACGCCGCGUGGAGGAUGAAGGUUUUCGGAUCGUAAACUCCUGUCAAGAGGGAAGAAACCUAU